rnacentral:rRNA from 1 species
CGAUUCGUAACAAACACUUGCGUCCACAAGCCUUUUUAACUUUUGACCUCGGAUCAGGUAGGGAUACCCGCU